rnacentral:rRNA from 1 species
UACGUAGGGGGCAAGCGUUGUCCGGAUUUAUUGGGCGUAAAGAGCGUGUAGGCGGUUUGGUAGGUCCGUUGUGAAAACUCGAGGCUCAACCUCGAGACGCCGAUGGAAACCAUCAGACUAGAGUCCGGAAGAGGAAAGCGGAAUUCCAAGUGUAGCGGUGAAAUGCGUAGAGAUUUGGAGGAACACCAGUGGCGAAGGCGGCUUUCUGGUCUGUAACUGACGCUGAGGCGCGAAAGCGUGGGGAGCAAACAGG